CCCUUAGAUGUUCUGGGCCGCACGCGCGCUACACUGACUGGUGCAACAAGUGUCGCUCCUUGGCCGAUAGGCCUGGGCAAUCUUUGAACGCCAGUCGUGAUGGGGAUAGAUUCUUGCAAUUUUUGAUCUUCAACGAGGAAUUCCUAGUAAACGCGAGUCAUCAACUCGCAUUGAUUACGUCCCUGCCCUUUGUACACACCGCCCGCCGCACCUACCGAUUGAAUGGUCCGGUGAACCCUCCGGAUCGGCCCGCGCCAACGCAAGUUGAGCAAAGGCCGAGAAGUUGGGUAAACCUUACCAUUUAGAGGAAGGUGAAGUCGUAACA
rnacentral:rRNA from 1 species